GGGCUUUUGCAUAAAUCCCACCUUCAAAUUAAGCCCAAUUCAAGUUUUAUGAACCAGUUUAAGCCCAAAUUUUGAUUUGGAAAAAUUUUAGAAAUUGAGGCCAACGUUUUCGAUAUUUUUUUUAUAAAUGAAAAAUAAAUUUAGAGAGCUUUCUUCUCAUUUGAGGUUCGAUUUUUCUAUAUUAAGAAAAUGUGUCAAAUUUAAAUAAAUAUUUAACCAGUAUUAGUAACAGUAGGCUUAAAAGCUCACACUUUCUCUUUCCCCUGUUAUUAAUGGGGUAUCCCGGUGCGAGAACCUAACGUGCUUAGGUUAGGCUCACUGAUGCCCUUGCUUAAGUUACAAACUUGAGCUACCAAGUUCGGCA
rnacentral:lncRNA from 1 species